UAGUGGCGAACGGGUGAGUMACACGUGGGCAAUCUGCCCUGCACUCUGGGACAAGCCCUGGAAACGGGGUCUAAUACCGGAUACUGACCCGCUUGGGCAUCCAAGCGGUUCGAAAGCUCCGGCGGUGCAGGAUGAGCCCGCGGCCUAUCAGCUUGUUGGUGAGGUAAUGGCUCACCAAGGCGACRACGGGUAGCCGGCCUGAGAGGGCGACCGGCCACACUGGGACUGAGACACGGCCCAGACUCCUACGGGAGGCAGCAGUGGGGAAUAUUGCACAAUGGGCGAAAGCCUGAUGCAGCGACGCCGCGUGAGGGAUGACGGCCUUCGGGUUGUAAACCUCUUUCAGCAGGGAAGAAGCGAAAGUGACGGUACCUGCAGAAGAAGCGCCGGCUAACUACKUGCCAGCASCCGCGGUAAUACGUAGGGCGCGAGCGUUGUCCGGAAUUAUUGGGCGUAAAGAGCUCGUAGGCGGYUUGUCGCGUCGGUUGUGAAAGCCCGGGGCUUAACCCCGGGUCUGCAGUCGAUACGGGCAGGCUAGAGUUCGGUAGGGGAGAUCGGAAUUCCUGGUGUAGCGGUGAAAUGCGCAGAUAUCAGGAGGAACACCGGUGGCGAAGGCGGAUCUCUGGGCCRAUACUGACGCURAGGAGCGAAAGCGUGGGGAGCGAACAGGAUUAGAUACCCUGGUAGUCCACGCCGUAAACGGUGGGCACUAGGUGUGGGCGACAUUCCACGUCGUCCGUGCCGCAGCUAACGCAUUAAGUGCCCCGCCUGGGGAGUACGGCCGCAAGGCUAAAACUCAAAGGAAUUGACG
rnacentral:rRNA from 1 species